ACAACUUCAGCUGAGGAACUUGGCACGGCCAGCUUGGGACCCAGGACCCUAACGCAGAGGCGCUGUGUUUGGAAGUCCCGCUAUCACGGCCCCCCAGAUGGGGCCUGGACGAUGCCUCCUGACGGCCUUGUUGCUUCUGGCCCUGGCGCCACCGCCGGAAGCCUCCCAGUACUGCGGCCGCCUUGAAUACUGGAACCCAGACAACAAGUGCUGCAGCAGCUGCCUGCAACGCUUCGGGCCGCCCCCCUGCCCGGAGGCCGGUCCCUGCCAAGGGGCACUGCCCCCUCACACCUGGAAACCCAGGCGCCCCUAGCUCCCAGGAGCGCAGCUCACCAGCAAGUUCCAUUGCCUGGAGGACCCCUGAGCCUGUCCCUCAGCAGGCCUGGCCGAAUUUCCUUCCGCUCGUGGUGCUGGUCCUGCUCCUGACCUUGGCGGUGAUAGCGAUCCUCCUGUUUAUUCUGCUCUGGCAUCUCUGCUGGCCCAAGGAGAAAGCCGACCCCUAUCCCUAUCCUGGCUUGG
rnacentral:lncRNA from 1 species